UGCUCAACAUAACCAUGACUAAACUCAUCAGCCUCCACAUCAAACCUGGUCUUCUUCCUUUCUUCAUGUGGUCUUGACUGAUUUCCUCUGCACAAGCCAGAAUCUAUCUAGCCCAUUAAGUGAAGGCUCUAUGCCAUCCACAGGGCUGACUGCCUUUUAAACACAGAACAUCCGUCUUCCCUACCAUUGUGUGCCUAGCUCUGUGUCUAACUCCAGGAACGCCUAAAGCAAACUUACUUCACCAUUUCCACAUUCCACUACCACAGACCCCAGGAUCUGGACCACCAGGCGUAUCUUCCUUGGAGAGUCGGCUUCUCAUAGGAGAGUCCUUCUCAUCCUUGCAGUGCCUGGCACAAGCAGCUCCAAGGAUGACAGCACUUUCUCUCCAGGAACAGGCUGACCACAGGUGGGAAACACAUCUAAAGGUAUCCAUCACAGCUGACAGAAGAAUGGAACAAUGUGAUGCCUGGAGCCUGUCAUGCCUGGAGAUCAACAUCCCUGGACCCCCUCUUUACUGCUCGUUUUUCAUACAUAACUGCUUCAAGAUUCUGUAAUCCUUGAAGAUAGGUUUUUGAAAUAUGAGCCACCUGUCUUCUGAUUAGCCAUCUAAUCUAAUUAAACUUCC